AGUGAACGCUGGCGGUAGGCCUAACACAUGCAAGUCGAACGGCAGCACAGUAAGAGCUUGCUCUUACGGGUGGCGAGUGGCGGACGGGUGAGGAAUACAUCGGAAUCUACUUUUUCGUGGGGGAUAACGUAGGGAAACUUACGCUAAUACCGCAUACGACCUACGGGUGAAAGCAGGGGAUCUUCGGACCUUGCGCGAUUGAAUGAGCCGAUGUCGGAUUAGUUAGUUGGCGGGGUAAAGGCCCACCAAGGCGACGAUCCGUAGCUGGUCUGAGAGGAUGAUCAGCCACACUGGAACUGAGACACGGUCCAGACUCCUACGGGAGGCAGCAGUGGGGAAUAUUGGACAAUGGGCGAAAGCCUGAUCCAGCUAUACCGCGUGGGUGAAGAAGGCCUUCGGGUUGUAAAGCCCUUUUGUUGGGAAAGAAAAGCAGCAGGUUAAUACCCCGAUGUUCUGACGGUACCCAAAGAAUAAGCACCGGCUAACUUCGUG
rnacentral:rRNA from 1 species